rnacentral:rRNA from 1 species
GACGAACGCUGGCGGCGUGCUUAACACAUGCAAGUCGAACGGAAAGGCCCUGCUUUUGUGGGGUGCUCGAGUGGCGAACGGGUGAGUAACACGUGAGUAACCUGCCCUUGACUUUGGGAUAACUUCAGGGAACUGGGGCUAAUACCGGAUAGGAGCUCCUGCUGCAUGGUGGGGGUUGGAAAGUUUCGGCGGUUGGGGAUGGACUCGCGGCUUAUCAGCUUGUUGGUGGGGUAGUGGCUUACCAAGGCUUUGACGGGUAGCCGGCCUGAGAGGGUGACCGGCGACAUUGGGACUGAGAGACGGCGCAGACGCGUACGGGAGGCAGCAGUGGGGAAUAUUGCACAAUGGGCGGAAGCCUGAUGCGGAAACGCCGCGUGCGGGAAGACGGCUUUCGGGUUGUGAACCGCUUUCGACUGAGACGAAGCGUGAGUGACGGUAAUGGGUAAAGAAGCACCGGCUAACUACGUG